UACGGAGGGUGCAAGCGUUAUCCGGAUUCACUGGGUUUAAAGGGUGCGUAGGUGGGCAGGUAAGUCAGUGGUGAAAUCUCCGGGCUUAACUCGGAAACUGCCAUUGAUACUAUCUGUCUUGAAUACCGUGGAGGUUAGCGGAAUAUGUCAUGUAGCGGUGAAAUGCUUAGAUAUGACAUAGAACACCAAUUGCGAAGGCAGCUGGCUAGACGAAUAUUGACACUGAUGCACGAAAGCGUGGGGAUCAAACAGG
rnacentral:rRNA from 1 species